rnacentral:rRNA from 1 species
GGGCCCGCACAAGCGGUGGAGCAUGUGGUUUAAUUCGAUGAUACGCGAGGAACCUUACCAGGACUUAAAUGUAAGUUGCAUGAUUCAGAAAUGAAUCUUUCUUCGGACUACUUACAAGGUGCUGCAUGGUUGUCGUCAGCUCGUGCCGUGAGGUGUCAGGUUAAGUCCUAUAACGAGCGCAACCCCUAUCGUUAGUUGCCAUCAAGUAAAGUUGGGAACUCUAGCGAAACUGCCGGUGCAAACCGUGAGGAAGGUGGGGAUGACGUCAAAUCAUCACGGCCCUUACGUUCUGGGCUACACACGUGCUACAAUGGCCGGUACAGAAAGCAGCCACUAUGCGAAUAGGAGCGAAUCUUCAAAGCCGGUCUCAGUUCGGAUCGCAGUCUGCAACUCGACUGCGUGAAGCUGGAAUCGCUAGUAA